ensembl:lncRNA
AAAAAAAUAAAAGUUAAUUCAAAAUAUUAUAAAUAAUUUAAAUAAAAAUAAUUCUAAAAUAACACUGGCCACCUUGUUAGUGUGAAUGCACAUCUAAAAAUCAGUUUACAACUAUUAUUUCCAAUUGUUUCCAAUUGUACACCUGAAAACAUCCAAGGGACAAGAUACGAUAUGCCCAAAAAAUAUGCUAAAAAGAAAUUCUGUGAAGUUUUUUAAGCUGUGAAACAUAGAUGAACCACUUUACACGUUUUUGAUUUAAAAGUCCAGUAUUGGUGACAAUUUUAGUUGUUCUUCCUUUUUAUUGCAGGUUCCGUCCUAUUACAGAAGACCUGCUCCUUCAGGCUUUUAAGGUGCCUAAUGCUCUGACACUUAAACAUUUUUGUUAUUCUUCUUUUGUUGUUUGAAUUUACCUACAGAGAAAAAGAAAAAAAAAAGUCAAAAACCUUAAACUGGAUAUAAAGAUGAAGACCUUAGACCAAUGGAAUGAUUUAAUGUAAUGGUGCUGUUAUCUCUUUUUAAAGGUGUCAGAUUAACAGAAAAAAGGCCACUUGGAACCAGAGGAACUGACCAAAUAUUUAACACAAGAAGGAGAGCCCUUCACACAGGAAGAGAUAGAUGAAAUGCUGUCUGCAGCUGUUGAUCCUGAUAAAAAUGUCAUUCUCCACAAGGACUUUGUGAGCAUGAUGACCUUUGAUGACACUUGAUGAUGGCUGACGGCAUGAAUAGAUUGAAUAUAUAAGUAGUUUUAUAGAGUUAGGAUCAAGAUAUCAUAAACAAAAUCAUCUCAGUUACCAUAAUAAAUAAUAUACUGUACAUGUUAUUUUGAUUCUU